rnacentral:rRNA from 1 species
AGAGUUUGAUCCUGGCUCAGAGCGAACGCUGGCGGCAGGCCUAACACAUGCAAGUCGAGCGGGCACCUUCGGGUGUCAGCGGCAGACGGGAGAGUAACACGUGGGAACGUGCCCUUUGGUUCGGAACAACCCAGGGAAACUUGGGCUAAUACCGGAUAAGCCCUUACGGGGAAAGAUUUAUCGCCGAAGGAUCGGCCCGCGUCUGAUUAGCUAGUUGGUGGGGUAAUGGCUCACCAAGGCGACGAUCAGUAGCUGGUCUGAGAGGAUGAUCAGCCUCACUGGGACCGAGACACGGCCCAGACUCCUACGGGAGGCAGCAGUGGGGAAUUUUGCGCAAUGGGGGAAACCCUGACGCAGCAACGCCGCGUGGAGGAUGAAGUCCCUUGGGACGUAAACUCCUUUCGACCCGGACGAUAAUGACGGUACGGGUGGAAGAAGCCCCGGCUAACUUCGUGCCAGCAGCCGCGGUAAU